CAAGACAGCCAGACUAUCGCAGACCGCAAGGUAUGAGGAAAGUCCGAGCAUCACAAGGCAGAGUGCCGGCUAAUUACCGGUCAAGGCGACUUGAAGGAAAGUGCAACAGAAAUAGACCGCCUGCAAUUUUGCAGGUAAGGAUGGAAAGGCGGAGUAAGAGCCCACCGUCUUCGAGGUAACUCGAAGAGCCAUGUAAACCCCACUUGAUGCAAGAGAAAGCGACGUUAAGGUAGCCUGCCAGUCGCGAAAAUCGCUUGAACGCAACGGUAACGUUGCGUCUAGACAGAUGAUAGUCCAAUACAGAACUCGGCUUAUAGACUGUCUUGCUUA
rnacentral:RNase_P_RNA from 1 species